rnacentral:lncRNA from 10 species
AACCAGACAACAGAACACCACCCAGCAAAGUGAAUAGACAAACUGCUGCUACACACAACACAGACAAAUCAUAAGAAGCCAGUCUCAAAAGAGUUCAGGGUGUCUGAGUCCAUUUAGAUAAAGUUCAAGUAUAUGCAAAGCUCACCUGUGCUGCUAGAAGUCAGGAUAGCAGUGGCUGCCCAUGGUGGGGAGGAGGGGCCCAGGUGAAUGGUAACUCUUUUUGAUUUGUACCCUUUUCUAGAUGUAUUUUAUCCUUCAAUGAGAAGUUUAUUUCGAAAACGUCCUGUGUCUCUUCCAAAGAUAGCUCCAGCUGGGCAAAGUGGCAGCUCUGUGGGCUCCAACGGAAGAGGCCAAAAGGCCCAUCCUCCUCCUGUCCCCUGGGUUCAAUUCACAGCCCUGCCUGUCUCUAGCUGUGUGAUCCUGGACGUGCCUCUCUGCUUCCUCAGCUCCUGCUUCAAGACAGGCCUAACCAAAUUUUGAGAAGUCCCCAGCAGAGCUCCCGACCCUAAUCAGAGAAGAAGAAUGAAUGUUCUGAGUGGGUACCACAUGGCAGGUGCUAUUCUAAAUACUGAACAGCUGUGAACCCAUUUAAUCCCCGUAAGAAACUGGUGAGCUUGGUUUCAUUUGACUCAAGAGGCCCAGAGACGAAAGCAACUGGUCCAGGGUCACACAGCCAGCAGGAAGUGGAUCAGGGUUGGAACCUGGGCAGUCUGGCCCUGAAGCGCUGCAGAAAGUAUUAUUUUGGGAGCAAAUAGGUAAUAGGUGGUGAGAGCCACCUAAAAAUACCCCUCCUCUCUGGCCCAGUAACCACUUCUAGAAAUCUGCCCUAAACAAGUAACUCAAAUAAAGCGAAAGCUGAGAUACACGACGGUCAUGGCUGCGUUAUCUAUAACUGAGGAAAGCUGGGAACGACCCGAAGGGCAACCACAGCAGAGGCCUUUGGUAAAUGGCCCCAGCCUCUUCACGGACGAUUCUGCAGCCAUUAGGAAGCCUCCCUUGGGCGCUGUGGCACGGCACUGGGAUGUCUGAGCUGCCAUGCCUUGGCGAGGCUCACAGGACUGUCCAUGUGCCUGGCCACAGCUGCUAAAAUGGCUGCGUGAAGAUGGACGCAGCCUCGGAGGAGAACUGCAAGGUCAUAACUGGCAGGAGCUGGGGGUGCUGACCUUGAAGUGAUCGUAAAAAGGUCGAAAAGGAGACAGAGAGGGAGGAAGGUGGCCAAGACGGGGUUAGACGGGCAAACGGAGGUGGGGUGGGGUUCAAGGGCAACGUCUUCCCUCAAGACCAAGGGAUGAGCUGGGCUAGAGGGGACAGGCCCAGCCAGGAGCCACCUCGGAGGGUCACUGUAUAGAGUGAGGGAGUCAGGUGCAAGGCCAGAUCUGGGCUUCCAAACCUCAAGUUUAAAGUCAGGGGACACAGCGACCAGUGUGUUUGGGGAAGAUGUGGAAGCGGGUCAGUCCUGAGUGUGACACCGGGCCUGGGAGAGGUGGUCUGACAGCGGCUGUGCUGAUGACGUGCAAGACAGGAUGAGGCAAUCAGCCCUUCUGCGUGAGAAACAGGGGCCUGCCUAGUCAGACGUCAAUUCACAUUAUCUUUUUUUUUUUUUUUUUUUUUUUUUUUUUUUUAAGCACAGUUUCACUCUGUCACCCAGGCUGGAGUAUAGUGGCACCAUCUCGGCUCACUGCAACCUCCGCCUCCCGGGUUCAAGCGAUUCUCAUGCUUCAGCCUCCUGAGUAGCUGGGACUAUAGGCCUGAGCCACCACGCCCAGCUAAUUUUUGUAUUUUUAGUAGAGACAGGGUUUCCCCAUGUUGGCCAGGCUGGUCUCGAACUCCUGACCUCAAGUGAUCCUCCCGCCUCGGCCUCCGAAAGUGCUGGGAUUACAGGUAUGAGCCAUCACGCGCAGCCAAUUCACAUAACCCUAGUGGUGAUGGGAGACUUAGGGAAAAGUGGAAAGCUCUCACGCAAGCCUCAGGCACCAGCAACACCCAGGCUCUACCCAGAUGUGCCACGAGAACAGGUGGGAGCCGGGGCACUGCUCCCAAGUGCACAUCAGGUGUGAGAAGUGUCUGGGUAGCGUGUGUCUGUGUACAUGCAUGCAUGUACAGUUGGGAGCCACACUCCCGGUGGCUGAAGUCCCAGGUUCUGGACUCACUCAGACUUCUGUUCAAAUCCCAUCUAAGCCAUUGAACAGCUGUGUGACCUUGAGUGAGUGAUUUAACCUCAGCCUCAGUUUCCACAUCAGUAAAAAGGGAGAAGAGGAGGAACAGGCACCUCCUCAGGGCUGUAAGGAUUCACCAAGGUGAGUAAGUGAGGCACUGGCACAUGCAUGGGACAGGAGUUAAGUGUCCAUCAUGGCUCGAGGACCAGCUGCAGCCUUGUGCUAAGGCCUUGGGGUGCAACUGGGGGCUCGGCUUGGGCUGGAUGACGACUUGGGGGAUGUGAGCUUGGGAAGGGAUUUGCAGCCUGGUGGAGAAAGCGCCUGGGGCCACAUCUCUAGGACACUAGGAGUGGCUCUUCCCCAGGGAGGCUCCCAUGACCAGGAGGCGACCCAGGGGAGGUGGGCUCCGGGAGCAAGGUCAGAGCCAGGGGUGACAGCCCCUACUGGAGGCCCGGUCCAGAGCCUCAGGAUUUCCC